rnacentral:lncRNA from 1 species
AUUUUAUAUGGCAACAUUUCCUUUUUGGUCAGUCCCAAAAAGAAUGUCACAUUUCCUUAUUUGGUAAGUAUUUAAAGGUACAAUUCCUCUUUUAUCCUUGUUGGUCCCACUUAAUCUUGAAAAGAGUACUCCAAUACAUUUAUUAGGAGAGAGAAAAAUAAGUCUAUUUUUUUAAGGGCAAUUUGGUAAACAUUUCAAAGUCUUUAUCUAUUUCUUAAACUCCGUGCCCGGUCAAAUGUUGCCACAUAAAAUGGGACGGAGGGAGUAUUAUACAUGAGUUCAUUUUUACCAAACAAUUUGAUAAUUGAUUACUAUAAAUAUAUUCGUGGUCUCAGUAUUCUACAUCAUAUUUUCUUAUAUUCAUAAAGUAGAAGUUUUGACCAAAAUAUGAAGGUCCAAAUUUGAAAGUCAAACCACUUAUACAAAGGAUAUAUAAGAAGAGAUCCAAAAUAUUCUACUACCAUUUAUGGAAAACUAAUAAUAAGAGAUCCGAAAUAUUCUACUACCAUUUAUGGAAAAUUACUUACUCCCUCCGUCUCAUUUUAUAUGGCAACAUUUCCUUUUUGGUCAGUCCCAAAAAGAAUGUCACAUUUCCUUAUAUGGAAAGUAUUUAAAGGUACAAUUCCUUUUUUAUCCUUGUUGGUCCCACUUAAUCUUGAAAAGAGUACUCCAAUACAUUUAUUAGGAGAGAGAAAAAUAAGUCUAUUUUUUUAAGGGCAAUUUGGUAAACAUUUCAAAG